rnacentral:rRNA from 1 species
GACGAACGCUGGCGGCGUGCUUAACACAUGCAAGUCGAACGGAAAGGCCCUGCUUUUGUGGGGUGCUCGAGUGGCGAACGGGUGAGUAACAUGUGAGUCACCUGCCCUUGACUUUGGGAUAACUUCAGGAAACUGGGGCUAAUACCGGCUAGGAGCUCCUGCUGCAUGGUGGGGGUUGGAAAGUUUCGGCGGUUGGGGAUUGACUCGCGGCUUAUCAGCUUGUUGGUGGAGGAGUGGCUUACCAAGGCUUUGACGGGUAGCCGGCCUGAGAGGGUGACCGGCCACACUGGGACUACGAUACGGCCCAGACUCCUACGGUGGGCAGCAGUGGGGAAUAUUGCACAAUGGGCGGAAGCCUGAUGCAGCAACGCCGCGUGCGGGAUGACGGCCUUCGGGUUGUAAACCGCUUUCGCCUGUGACGAAGCGUGAGUGACGGUAAUGGGUAAAGAAGCACCGGCUAACUACGUG